UACGUAGGUGGCAAGCGUUGUCCGGAUUUACUGGGCGUAAAGAGCGCGCAGGCGGUCGUUCAAGUCGCGUGUGAAAGCCCCCGGCUCAACUGGGGAGGGUCACGCGAUACUGAUCGACUCGAAGGCAGGAGAGGGAAGUGGAAUUCCCGGUGUAGUGGUGAAAUGCGUAGAUAUCGGGAGGAACACCAGUGGCGAAGGCGACUUCCUGGCCUGUUCUUGACGCUGAGGCGCGAAAGCCAGGGGAGCGAACGGGG
rnacentral:rRNA from 1 species